GACACAAAAUACAGGAAGUAAGAACAUGUUUGACCAUGUGGAGCUUACUCUUUAAUAGAAAACUGGGACCUGCAUAAAUCCAAGAAAUGGACCCGACAUUCAUGGAGCACCAACCAUCUGCCAGCAAGACCAACCCCUCCUCCCACUUAGCCUGCUUUAACGUGAAGAUAAUGAGGAUGAAGACCUUUGAUGAUCCACUUUCACUUACAUCUUCACCAGGAGUAUAGAUGCCAUCUGAAGAAACCACUUUCUUUGCUCAUCCAUAAGAAGCAACUCCUCAUUGGCUCAAUUUUCAUCAUGAGAUUGUGGCAACUGAGUGACAUAUUCAGGCUCCACUUCUAUUUUUCUUGCUAUUUCCACCCUUCAAAGUCAUCCAUGAGGAUCGGAAUCAAAUUCUUCCAAACUCCUGUUAAUAUUGAUAUUUUGACCUGACGAUUGGAAUCAAAUUCUUCCAAACUCCUGUUAAUGUUGAUAUUUUGAUCUUCUCCCAUGAACCACAAAUAUUCUUAAUGACAUCUAGAAUGCUGAAUCCUUUCAGAAGGUUGUCAAUUUACUUUGCCCAGAUUCAUCAGAAGAAUAAUUAUCUAUGGCAGCUAUAGCCUUACCAAGUGUAUUCCUACAUAAUAAGACUUCAAAGGCAAAAUUACUCCUUGAUCCAUGGGCUGCAGAAUGGAUGUUGUAUUAGCAAGCAUGAAAACAACACUCAUCUCCUUGUACAUCUCCAUCAGAGCUCUUGGGUGAUUAGGUGCAUUGUCAACAAGCAAUAAUAUACUGAAAUGAAUCUUUUUUUUCUAAGCAGUAAGUAUUAACAGUGGGCUUACAAUAUUCAGUAAACCAUGCUGUAAACAGAUGUGCUGUCAUCCAGCCUGUUGUUCCAUUUUAUAGAGCACAAGCAGAAUAGAUUUAGCCUAAUUCUUAAGGGCCCUAAAAAUUUUCAGAGUGGUAAAUGAGCACUGGCUUCAACUUAAAGUCAUCAGCUGCAUUAGCCCACACAACAAGAGAGUCAGCUGUCCUUUCAAGCCUGAAGUUGACUUCUCCUGUCUAGCUAUGGAAGUCCUAGAUGGCAUCUUCUUCCAGUAGAAGGUUGUUUUGUCUACAUUGAAAAUCUGUUGUUUCAUGUAUCCUGCACCAGUAAUCUUAGAUCUUCUGGAUAAUUUCUUGCAGCUUCUACAUCAACACUUGCUGCUUUACUUCACAGUUUUAUGUUAUGGAGAUGGCUUUCUUCCUAAGAUCUCAUGAACUAACCUCUGAUAGCUUCAAACUUUUCUCCUGCAGCUUUCUCACCUCUCUCAGCCUUCACAGAACUAAAGAGAGUUAGGGUCUUGCUCUGGAUUAGGCUUUGGAUUAAGGGAAUGUUGUAGCUGGCUUGAUCUUCUAUGCAGACUACUCGAACUUUCUCCAUCUGCAAUAACGCUGUUUCACUUUCUUAUUUAUGUGUUCACUGAAGUAGCACUUUUAAUUUCCUUCAAGAACUUUUCCUUUGAAUUCACAACUUCACUAACUCUUUGGCAUAAAAGGCCUAGUUUUCAGCCCAUCGUGGCUUUUUUUUUUUCUUUCUUUCUUUUUUUUUUUUUUUCUUCAGACAGAGUUUCAUUCUUGUAGCCCAGACUGGAGUGCAAUAGUGCCAUCUUGGCUCACUGCAACAUCUGCCUUUCAGGUUCAAGCGAUUCUCCUGCCUCAGCCUCCCAACCAGCUGGGAUUACAGGUGCCCACCACCACACCCAGCUAAUUUUUGUAUUUUUAGUAGAGACGGGGUUUCGCCAUGUUGGCCAGGUUGGUCUCAAACUUCUGACCUCAGGUGAUCCACCCACCUUGGCCUCCCAAAGUGCUGGGAUUACAGUUGUGAGCCACCACGCCCGGCCACCUGUCAUGGCUUUUCACAUGCCUUCCUCACUAAGCUUAAUCAUUUCUAGUUUUUAAUUUAAAGUGAGAGACAGUGCAACUCUUCUUUUCACUUGAGCACUUAGAAGCCAUUGCAGGGUUAUUAAAUUGGCCUAAUUUCAGUAUCAUUGUCUCAGGUGACAAGGGAGGCCAGGAGAAGGAGAAAGAUGGGGAGAACAGCCAGUCAGUGGAGCAGUCAGAACACACAUAGCAUUUAUCAAUUAAGUUCACCGUCUUAUACGCAUGGUUCUUGGCAUCCCAAAACAAUGACAACAGUAACAUCAAAGAUCACUGAUCACAGAUCACCAUAACAGAUAUGAUAAUGAAAAAGCGUUAAAUAUUGUGGGAAUUACUAAAAUGUAACAGAGAGACAAAACAUAAAGUUAGGCACUGAUGGACUUGCUUAAAGCUGGGUUGUCACGAACCUUCAAUUUGUAAAAAGCACAUUAUCUGUGAAGUGCAAUAAAGUGAAAUGCAAUAAAAGGAGGUGUGCCUGAGGGAUUUACCAUUCUUUAAUAAAAAUGGUCUUAUGCACACUUCUCUACAUCCCGCCUUUCCAUUAAUAUGUCAUAAAAUCUCCUUGAAAUCAACUGGUAUAGCUAUACUUUAUUCUUUUUAAUAACUACAUAAUAUUCCAGAGCAUGAGGGAACCAUAAUUAAUCUGCCAUCCACCACUGAUGAACACUCCUUUUGUGGCUAGCUUUGUCUAUUGCAGUUACACCGCAAUAACUAUCCUGUACAUAUGUCCUGAUGUAUUUAUGGUUUCAUAUUUAUGUGGGAGUAGAGUGGAGCUGGGAGUUGCUACAUCAAAAGGUAAAUAGAUUUUUUUUAUUUUAAUAGAAGUUGCUGCAUUGUUUACAAAAAAGACUUUGGCAAUUUACAUCUCCAUCAGUAAUGCCUGAGUUGCCCUUUCCUUGGACUCCUGACAGCAUUAGGUAAUUUUUUUUUUAUGUUUAAUUUUUGGGCAAAUAGUGACAUUUCAUUGAUACUUGAAUUUGCAUUUUCCCAACCUUUAAAAAUUUAAGCAUCUCUUCUGCUUGUUGAUUUGGAUUUCUUUUUCUGAGAAAUGUCUUUUCACAUCCUCUUUUUUUGUAUUAGAUUGUUUGUUUUUUUCUUCUCAAAGUUUAAAGGCUCCUUAUAUGUUAUAUAUUUUUAUCUGUAUUAUAGUUUUUUUUCAAAUACAGCCUUUGCCUAUUGAAUUUACUAAAUGAAUAUCUUCCAUACAAAGUUUCUAUAUUUUUACAUAAUGAAAGUGUUUAUCUUUUCUGGCUAUGGUGUGGAAGACUGAUGGGAGGGGUAAGACUAGAUAGCAAGAGAUCCAUCAGACAGCAAUUUCAGACUGGUCAAGAGGCAGCAUUGUGCUAGGCAAAGUGGUUCAAGAGACAUUAGGGAGGUAAAACUGGGAGAACUAGAUGAUUGACAGCAUAUGGGGUAAAGGAGGAGGAGAGGAGGUGCCAGGAGGGCCAGGAUGAAUCACAGCUCUUACUUCCUCCUAGGUGGGUUGUGGUGUCUUUCCCUAAGAAAGGAAACACAGCAGGAAGACUAAGACUGGCCUGGAACAUCAUGCUUUCAGUUUGACACUGUUCAGUGUGAGGGGUCUGUGAGACAUCCAAGCAAAGAUGCCCAGUAGCUGCUAAGUACACAGGUCUGGGACUCACAGGAAAGGAUACAGAUUUGGGAGUCAUCACAUUUCUAGUGGCUCCAAUGGAGGCCAUUAGGACCAUCACCUUGGGAGAGCGUAUGAAGUGGGAAAAGGCAGCUUGGACCUGUGCUUUAAAGCUUGGCUAGAGGGGAAAACACUGGCUAAGGAGACUGAGAGAGACCUGGGAAGUAGAAGAAAGGCCAGGAGGGGGAUGGCAUCAUAACUCCAAGACAAGAGUCAACAUGUGGAGACUUGACUGAAUAAAAGGCACUAGUGAUAUUACUCAGAUAGUAGGAAAAAGAUGGAAGAAAAUUCAAAUGUAAGCAGAAUUAAACACACAUACAAAAACACAUGCAUACAAUUUAUUUUUGCUUAUGCUCUAAAAGAACCUGUAGUUUCACUGAAUACUGGGAUCUGGGUGAUAUUUAUUCAGGAUGUUAACAAAUAAAACAAUAGUAUAACCUACAUAAAGAGAUAUGCAUAAUGAUAUUCAUUUUAAAGUUAUCUAUACUAGUAAAUAAUAAUCUAGUCUAAUAGUUAAACAAUUUAGUAUUAUGCCAUGGCUUACUAUGUGGUUAUUUUAAAAAAGGAAACAGGAUAUUCUCCUUUUAUUAUUGGGAAUUUGGAAAAUUUCUUAAUAUUAAAAAUAAAAAGUUAUAGAAAUAUAUAUGCAGAAUAUUCCUCUUUUUAAAAACAAUAAAGAGGCCAGAUGUGGUGGCUCAUGCCUACAAUUCUAGCACUUUGGUAGGCCAAAGUGGAAGGAUCACUUGAGCCCAGGAGUUUGAUACCAGCCUGGGCAAUGUAGUGAGACCCUGUCUCUACCAAAAAAUAUAUAUAUAUUUUAACUAUAAAAAGACAUGAAUACAUGUGUACAUGCAUUCUCACUUGCUCUUUUUUUAGACUGGAAAGAGACACCCUAAAUGAUUAACAGUGGUUGUUUUUAAAGUAACCACGGUUACUUUAGAGAUUGUGGUGAUGGUGAGAUUUCAAUUUAUUACUUAUUACUUAAUACAGGUCACAUUGAAAAAUAUGUUACUUUUGAAGACAAAUAUCCUAUUACUAUUAUAAUAUUAAAACUAUGUAAAUUUUUUUUAAAUAGAAUUAUUCAACCAAGAGGAGGAGUUGUUAAGAACUGUCUCUAAAACUAAUAUCUACCUCUACUUUGUGUGCAUGGGUAUAUCUAUUAUUUCCUUCCUACAGUAAAGUCUUUUCUGUUGCACUUCCAAGGCCAACACUAAAGUAAGUUGCUAAGAUAAUUUCUAAUGAACAAAAGAACAAUAGAAGAAAGGGGAGUGAGUUUUUUCUCAAAGGUCACAAACCAUGGAUGAACGAAUGAAUGAAUGAAUGAAUGAAUACACAAAUAGGAGCAAAGGAAUGGUGUCAACAGUGAGUUUGUUGCUUUGCUGAUACCACUGAGUGGUCAGAAAAGGGACUGUAGGGACGCUAAUAACCAUGCCAGAGUGCAGAACAGAGAGUGCCCAGAUUUUGAAGCCAGCAAGGCCCAGGGUGAACUCCCAAAGGCCUCCCCACACUAGAUCUCCUCAGCUGUGAAGUAGAAAUCAUAAUGCCCACCAUAAAAGAUUGUUUUCAGGUUUGAAUAAAAUUGAGAGUCUUUUUACACUGGUUGACAUGGAAUAGGCUUUCAAAGGUUUUCUCUCUUUUUCUUUUAAUGAGUUAGGUCAACAUCAAGGUAUUCACACUGUCUGAAUUAACUGGGUGAGAACUGGGCAUGGGGUGAGUUUUUGCUGUUUAAAAGCAAAGAGAGAUGGAGGGAGGGAAAAAAUUUUAUCAGUGAUCGCCUAAAAAGAUUUUCUAUGCUAGCCAGAUAAUUUUUGAAGGUUUUUUUGUUUUGAAGAAUUUUGAAUUUUUUUUAAAUAAAGAUAUGAGGGUACCUAAUACCUAAUCAGCACUACAUGUAUAGAGUGAUCACAUAUCUAAAAACAGGUCUGAUCUCAAAUAUUCUGUUGCAGUGUUUCUACAAAACAUCAACACCUCAAUUUUAAUAGUUCUUUUUGUAUGGCCUGAAGUUGUAACUGGAACCCAAGUUUUAUAGAUGAAGUAUCCUGAUUUCUUAUUUAGAAAAUCUGGUCACCGUUAACUAUGGGUUAAUGAAAAGGAACUCUCAACCCCCAGCACAAAUUCCUCUGCAAAUUAUUACUCAGGGCCUGAGAUUCAGAUUGACUGGUACUUUUUUUUUUUACUUAAUCUAACACUUGUAUGGCCCUGGCUCUGUGCCAGGCACUGUUGCAAGGGCUCUAUAAAUAGGUACUCACCACUGGGAGCAGUGGCUCAUGCCUGUAAUCCCAGCACUUUGGGAGGCCAAGGCAGGUGGAUCACUUGAGGUCAGGAGUUCCAGACCAGCCUGGCCAACAUGGUGAAACCCCGUCUCUACUAAAAAUACAAAAUUAGCUGGGCGUGGUGGCACUCGCCUGUAAUCCCAGUUACAUGGGAGGCUGAGGCAGGAGAAUCGCUUGAACCCGGGAGGUGGAGGUUGCAGUGGCCAAGACUGUGCCACUGCACUCCAGCCUGGGUGACAGAGCAAGACUCCAUCUCAGAAAAAAAAAAAAAAAAAAAAAAAAAAUCAGAAUCCUAAAAACAUAUUAAGAAGGUUUUAUUUCUAACCUUAUUAUUUUGCAGGUGAGGAAACUGAGGCACAACAAUGUUAAGUAAUGAAGCCAGAUUUGAACCUGGACAAUCUGACUGCAGAAUCAGUGCUCUUAACCAUUGUUUCUUAUUUAGCUUGCUACAUGGCAUAAGGCUCUUAAAGAUAGUGACAUGAUGCAGGGUUUCUCAGGAUACAAUCUAUAGACAGCAUUGGAACAGCAGAUGUUGCAAAUGAGAAAGUCAAACUGAGUUAAGCACACCUCCAAACCUACAGGUGAGGCACUAAGCUCUGUGGUUUCCAAAUCAUCGAAUGCUAGAGCUGAAGAGGGCCUCAGAGAGCAAGACUCCAGUCAAGGAAGAAAAAGCCAGACCAGAAACAAUAAAAAGAAAACGAGCAAACAAAGGAGUCACAAAGAAACAGAACUGUGGCAAAUGACGCAUUAGACGAAGACCAGCAAUUCCACCCACAGAGGAGAUACCAGCGGGCCAAGUGUGAGUCAGAAGGGACUGGUGAGGACUUGCGCACCAGUGAGCCUACAGGGAGGGGCCUGCCAUGUGGAAACAGGAGCUGUGCCUCAGCUCCUGCCAUGUGGAAACAGAGGCCCACCAUUGCCAGGUUCCCAAUUUUUCAAAAAAAGCCAGAUAUUCACAUUUUGUGUGAAAAUUCCUGUUCUUGAAAGUUGGCAACUAAUUCAAAUCUGAGCUUAGGGGUAACCCCAGCCAGGCUAGCCCUAUCAGGACAAGGACAAAGGUGUUCCUGUUUUUGGCUGUAUCCCCAUAUGUCUGGCAUAUGGACUUUCAAUAAAUAUCUGUUGAAUGAAUUAACUAAAAUGAUUAAAAUACAACUUAAAUGUAGUUCAAAAGAUAAGGCUUCCUGACAGAAUAGCAAAAUUUGACAGUCACCCCAAACCCUGGGCUUUGUGAAAUCCCAAAUUGCUGUGGAACCUGGCUGAAGAAGGAGGACUUCGUAAGGAGAGAUGGAGAAAGAAGUUUAACUGGAGCUUAAAAAUAAAAUGGCUCAGGAGCCCUCAUAUACAACCAAAACAGACUCAGUUUUUCAGCCCCACUUUCUGCCUCAUCACCAAAGCAAGAUGGGAGGACCUGCGGGCUCCACCUUCCCAACUCCACAGCUGUCCCUUUUGAGAUGUUCCCUCUCAAGUUUAAGUAGAUUUUACCAACUAAGUGUUAUAGGAUGCAGGGCACCACACCAGAUAAACUUGUACCCACUCAUGGAUGUCAGCCCCAAUCAAACUUAACAGCCUCGCUAUGGUUUGAGGAGGUUCACUGAUGUCAUUUCUUUCUUUUCUUUCUUUUUAUUUUUCUCUUUCUUUCCCUCUCUCUCUCCCUCCUUCCCUCCCCUUCCUUCCUUCCUUCCUUUUUCUUUUUGGAGACAGGGUCUCAUUCUGUCACCCAGGUUGGUGUGCAGUGGUGCAAUCGUGGCUCACUGUAGCUUCAACCUCCUGGGCUCAAGUGAUCCUUCUGCCUCAGCCUCCCAAGUAGCUAGAACUACAGUUGCAUGCCACCACGCCCAGCUAAUUUUUAUAUUUUUUGUAGAAACAAGGUCUCACUAUGUUGCUCAGGCUGAUCUCAAACUCGUGGGCUCAAGUGAUCCUCCUCCCUGGGCCUUCUGAAGUGCUGAGAUUACAAGCAUGAGCCACCAUGCCCAGCCAAUGCCAUACCUUAGAGACAAGCUAAUCACUCUUCCGGGAUUUGAAGGAAAGGGUUUUCUUGAGUUUGUUCUUAGAAAUAAACAAUGUAAUUUUAAGAUACUUCUCUCUCUCUCUCUAAAAUAUUUUAAGGCUCACACUGCCUGCAGAUUUUAGCAGGUAAAGUAAAAGUUCAUUUGACCAAAAAAAAAAAAAAAAGAAAGAAAAAAGAAAAAUUCCCUUAAAAGUUUCAGUACCUGAAUAUAUGAAUAUUGGUAUUUCCCUCUGAAUAUAAGACAUCAUAAUGGUGAUUCAUUUAAAGCCUCGUGCAAGCCCAGAGAUAGCAGGGUCUUGGGGCAUUUUUGCUCCCAAGUGAGCAGAUGGAUUUCUCAUCUGGAUAUGGGUCACUGAGCACAGCCUUGUCCCUCUCACUUCUCUGCGUUUGGUCUUCACAUCACGGCACAUUUUCAGUUGAUGCCUACUUGCAGUAUCAGGAUGUGUGGCAAUCUGGGAAGCAACAUCUCUAUCUACACACCCAUAUAUGCAUUUAUAGUAUUGAGGAGCGGCCAAUCUCCUAAAAUGUCUAGGCUAGUAAUUGUAUCAAAUAACCUGUCCUAUUAAGGCCAUAAAUAUUCUCAUAUUAGUCAGUCCCAAUUUUGGGGGUAGAAAAUGUGCUUACCAGGCAUGGAGAUAAUAAAGAGGAGUAGCACUGUUUGUUUUAACUCAAUCAAGUUUCAUACAGUUGUGACUCUUGCCUAGCUCUUAGCAAGUCCAAUCCAAGGAGCCCUAGGCCAGCUCAGCCUCAGUAAUAAUAUUUAACAGUAGCAGCAGCACGAAGAUUCACUGCAGGCUUACUAUGUGACAAGCACUUGUUCCAAGAGCUGUUUGUGUAUUAACUCAUUUAAUCCUCAACUCAACUCUGAGGUAGUUCUUAUUAUUCAUUUAUUUGUUCAUCAAAUGUUCAUGGAGUCCUGCCUAUGUGCCAGACACUGAAAUAAGCAGGCAGGAUAUAGCAAUGAACAAAACAGACAAAAUCCCAGCCCUCUUGGAGUCUAUUUUUCAGUGGAGGGAAGAACAUAAUAAAUGAAAAAGUAAAUAUCUUUUAUUUGGAUGAUGUUGGAUGAUGUUAAGUGCUAUAGAGAAAAAUAAAGCAGAGUGUGGGGGCUGAGGAGUACUGGUAAGGAAAGGAGUUGGAUGGCAUGGGGGGCAGUCAUAAGUUGGCAUCUGAGCAGAGUCCAGAAAAGCAGGGGAGCGAGCCUAAGAACAUCUGGGGUGAGAGUGAGAAAGGAGUUAUUUCUUGAGAACACGCCUAUCAAAGUAAGGUGGUUUGCUCCGCUGGACACUUGGUUGAUAGAGAAGGUCAAAGAUUCCGAAGCACCAGGCUACAGAUGAAGAAAUGGACUGAGAGGGUCAGCUGACUGCAUUCACUCAGCUAGCAAGGGGCAGAGCUGGUGUCCAGACACAGGCAGUCGGCCCCAGAGCCUGCACUGUUGGCCAGAACAUCAGAUGCCUUGGUUGGGGCCAUUCCUCUUUUUUCCUGAUCGAUUCCACCCUUAGCCGGUCCCAGUUAGUGACUUCUCUUAUUUCCUUAAGACAGAGAUUUACUGAUUUCAGCCACACCACCACCAGUUUCCCUGCCCUCAUCUACUUCAUACUGAAACUGCAGCCACCUGUCUCCCAACGGUUACAAACCCUCGGUCCCCAAGGCCAGAGCAAGGUUCCCGGACCUUGCUCUCAGCUGUCAAUCUGCCUCCUCGAUAAGUUCAUCAAGAAUUAAGAUGUUGGUUCUCUAAAUCAACUUCUUUCUGUACUUUCCUUCUAAUAUGAUGCUAAAAUAGUUUCCUUUUUAAUUCUUGUUCUUGCACUUAACCUAUUUCUUCUUUCUCAAGAUGUUUCCCUUUAGACCUAUGCAAUCCAUCAAAGUAGCUACCAGCUACAAGUGGCUAGUGAGAACCUGAAAUAUGGUUAGUUCAAAUGGAGAUGUGUUCUGAGUAUCAAAUACACACCAGAAUCUGAAGACCUGGUAUUAAAAAGUGGAACAUAAAAUCUCUUGUUAAUAUUUUUUUGUAGUAACUACUAGGUUAGUGCAAAAGUAAUUGCCGGUUUUUGCCAUUAAAAAAAAAUAGCAAAAACCACAAUAACUUUUGCACCAACCUAAUACAUGUCGAAAUGAAAAUAUUAUGGAUAUAUUAGGUUAACUAAAAUAUAUUAUUAAAAUUAAUUUCACAUGUUCCAUAUUAUACUUCUAUUUGAGAGCACUUCUUUAGCCUGUUGUUUCAAGACACUCACAUCCCACCUUUCUCAAAGGCCACAUUUGUCUUUGACUGUUCUCACCUUAGAUAGGAUACAGCUGAGAUCCACAGUAUGCUUUAGGGAAUAAGGUUCUUACUAGAUCGGUUAAGGCUGUGAGUGUUUUUAAAUCUAUUCUCCAAAGUCUGAUUCAAGGUAUUUCAAUACAGUACUGAUCAUUUCACUAAAAUUCCUUGAGAAUCCUUGUUAUUUUCUAGAUACUCAGUUCAUCGUUGGGAAACUCUAUUGCAAGUAGUUUACAAUGGCACAGCCUCAUUAGUUUCUUAUUAAUCUGAUUUUUUAUUUUUUUCUGAAUGUGUAUGUUAAACUUCAAUUUUCUUCUAAUUUUUAACUGGCAUAGGAAGAAAAUGUUCAAGAAACUACAGACUGGUCAGCCCAGUGGAAAUUCAGGCACUAAUCUCAACAGACAUUUUGGGGAACAUUGUAAAGUAAGCAAAGUUCACUAGAACCUAUAAAGUAACCAAAAAGCAUUUUCCUUGGAGGCUGAUGGGCAGGCACUGAAAGUUAUCUCCAAAGAGGAACUGCUAAAAUGUUUUCCCCUCCUUUUCUAGGGACAGUCUCUGUAUCUUAUAGUCACACUUUAUAUUCAAACCUGAACUUAUCUGAGAAAAGAGAAACGGCUGCAUCCUGGUUUCACUUACAACCCUGAGAUGGAAGUUGAGAUUUGUCAUUGCAGAAUUUAAGGGUCUGUGUCCUUAAGUAAAACCUUCUGGUCACCCCUCAAGUAAAGCUUCAAAAAAGCUUAGGCACUUGUGCAGAAACAGCAUGAGAAGAAACCAAAAGGCAGAAAACUUACACAUAUAAGGGCUGAUUUAUGCAAAGUUUCUACUUUUAAACAGAGAAACCAAUACCUACCCUCAAAGCCUGUAUUUACUAAAGAAAUGUUAGAGUGACAAGGAGGUCAAUAAAAUAAAUUAUUCAAAUCUG